CUCUGCCUGCUGGGGAAACAACUUCACUCAGUGCUGAUUGCCUCCGGUCUGAUUGCAGCAAAAUCUAUCUAGAGUAACAUCUGCUAAUGUCUAGAGGGAAGUUUUUUCUAUCAUCAUUUUAUCAAGGACCGCCCUUUUGAGGAGGAGACUGUGGCAAACAGCCGCGUGCCUGCUGCUGCCUGGAGAACGUGGCCAAGCACGCCAUACUUCCCGGAUGCCAACUUAAAAUGGAGGGUAGAACGGAAGUUCGCGCUCAGUCUCGCACUCUCUGGCUUCUCAGCUUAGCGGUGACUGCGCGUUCUGGAGAUUGGCUCUUGUUCUCAGCCUGGCAGGCAGAUUUGGGAUUCGUAUUUUUCUUACUAGAUCUGUGCCUUCAUCAACGUGAAGAAUUCCUGAUGCAGAAAUUCAUUCCUCCAAUGAAGUUCCAACUCAUCUGUAAUUUAUAUUCUUGGAGAGAUGCCUGGCUCAACCAACUUGCCAGAGUCACACAGCUAAUAUAUGUAAGACAGGAUUUAAACCCAGGACUACCAAAUUCAAAUCUGACUCUAUCAAACUACUUCUCAAGAGUUGUUGUGAUAAGUAAUGGCCGAGUGUGCUUUAGUGCCAUAUAAAUCUAAAAUAUCAUAACUGCAUUUUCUUCUAAUUGCUAUGGACAUUAUCUUUUUCUUCUUCUAUCUUCAUAAAAGAUAGAACAAUGAAAGGAUCUUCUAAUGCUUAUCUCUUCAUAUCUUUUACUGUAGCUAUUGCAAUGAAAAUUUUAAUCAAUAAGGUCUUUUAAGAACAGGUUUAAGCUUCAAUGAAGGAAAAAGUAAUACUAAAGAACUAAUAGUGAAAGAACA